rnacentral:rRNA from 1 species
CCCAGACUCCUACGGGAGGCAGCAGUGAGGAAUAUUGGUCAAUGGGCGCGAGCCUGAACCAGCCAAGUCGCGUGAGGGAUGACGGCCCUACGGGUUGUAAACCUCUUUUGUCGGGGAGCAAAUUCCGCCACGUGUGGCGGAGUCGAGAGUACCCGAAGAAAAAGCAUCGGCUAACUCCGUGCCAGCAGCCGCGGUAAUACGUAGGGGGCAAGCGUUAUCCGGAUUUACUGGGUGUAAAGGGAGCGCAGGCGGCGUGGCAAGUCAGAUGUGAAAACCCGGGGCCCAACCCCGGGAGUGCAUUUGAAACUGCCAUGCUGGAGUGCCGGAGAGGUAAGCGGAAUUCCUAGUGUAGCGGUGAAAUGCGUAGAUAUUAGGAGGAACACCAGUGGCGGAGGCGGCUUACUGGACGGUAACUGACGCUGAGGCUCGAAAGCGUGGGGAGCAAACAGGAUUAGAUACCCGAGUA